rnacentral:rRNA from 1 species
UGCGUAGGCGGCGUUAUAAGUCAGAUGUGAAAGCCCACCGCUUAACGGUGGAACUGCAUUUGAUACUGUAAUGCUUGAAUCAGGCUGAGGUCAGCGGAAUGUGUCAUGUAGCGGUGAAAUGCAUAGAUAUGACAUAGAACACCAAUUGCGAAGGCAGCUGACUAGACCUGUAUUGACGCUGAGGCACGAAAGCGUGGGGAGCGAACAGGAUUAGAUACCCUGGUAGUCC